AAUUAAAAAAUUUAUCCAUUUCUAUUGUUAAAAAAUUAGUGUGGUUGACAAAUCAACUAAAGAGUUACAUCAGGUGCAGUUCAUGUUGACAUAUAUGGAUCAAAUUUUUAACCGUAAAAAUAGAUGAAAUUUUAACUG
rnacentral:pre_miRNA from 1 species